rnacentral:rRNA from 1 species
UACAGGAGGGGCAAGCGUUAUUCGGAAUUAUUGGGCGUAAAGGGCGCGUAGGCGGCAUGGCAAGUGGAUGGUGAAAUCCCUCGGCUUAACCGAGGAACUGCCGUCCAAACUGCUUCGCUUGAGACCGGGAGAGGUGAGUGGAAUUCCCAGUGUAGCGGUGAAAUGCGUAGAUAUUGGGAGGAACACCAGUGGCGAAGGCGGCUCACUGGACCGGUACUGACGCGUGAUGCGUCGAAAGCGUGGGGAGCAAACGGG